rnacentral:rRNA from 1 species
CANNAAGGAAGAUCAACAGGGAUUGCCCUAGUAACGGCGAGUGAAGCGGCAAAAGCUCAAAUUUGAAAUCUGGCCCUAGCGGUCCGAGUUGUAAUUUGCAGAGGAUGCUUUUGGUGCGGUGCCUUCCGAGUUCCCUGGAACGGGACGCCAUAGAGGGUGAGAGCCCCGUACGGUUGGACACCUAGCCUCUAUGUAGCUCCUUCGACGAGUCGAGUAGUUUGGGAAUGCUGCUCUAAAUGGGAGGUAAAUUUCUUCUAAAGCUAAAUACCGGCCAGAGACCGAUAGCGCACAAGUAGAGUGAUCGAAAGAUGAAAAGCACUUUGAAAAGAGGGUUAAAUAGCACGUGAAAUUGUUGAAAGGGAAGCGUUUGCGACCAGACCUUCUCCAGGGGGAUCAACCGCUGUUCUCAGCGGUGCACUCCCCCUGGUUUAGGCCAGCAUCGGUUCUCUUAGGGGGAUAAAGGCCUGGGGAACGUAGCUCUUUAGGGAGUGUUAUAGCCCCUAGCGUAAUACCCUUCAGGGGACCGAGGACCGCGCUUCGGCAAGGAUGCUGGCGUAAUGGUCGUCAACGACCCGUCUUGAAACACGGACCAAGGAGUCGAACAUUUGUGCGAGUGUUGGGGGUGGAAANA